GCAAUGGGCGCACGUAACUAUGGACCUUCAGAUAUCUGAUUGAGAUUUCUUUUACUAGCAAGUUAGUUUAGGCAAAGGCUAUCUAAUUGUUUUGAAAACACACUGUAUUGUUUUCUAAAGUAUUAGCUAGGCCUGGUUUAUUAUAACUCGCCGUGUGCUUCACAUUAUAAACCCUACUCACUCUCUCGUCAUCAUGGACGAGGAAUAUUACGAGAGGAAUAUUGGAGACUGGGAUGGUCCGGAUGGCAAUGCUACUGUUUGGGCCGUAGCACACGCCAAAUAGAUGACAGAUAACCCACAAGCCAAUCGUGACCUUCUCUUGUGAAGCCCAGACGUAAGAGAGAGAACAAAGGCUGAACCUGGUCUUAACUUCCAAUGCCCAACCCCCCUCCACGCCACUCCGCCAACCACCAGGAUGCCCGGCAUCAGAACAUUCCAGGCAUUCCCGUGAUUGGCAGAUAGCAGGUUGAUUGACAUGUCGGACCCCGCGAACACCGGGUACUGCAGGACGACUAUGUUGAAGGGGAGAAUGAUGGGAAAGUUCAGGAGGACUGCCUACAGAAGUUCUCCAGCAGAGAUUACAUCAUGGAGCCUGCUGUAUUCAACACCCUUAAAACGUAAACACACUAUUGCGUGUGCCUGCCUAGUAACGUUAGUGUGUGAAGAGUCAAACCAUUUCCUGCAGAGGCUUCUGUUUCCACAGAUAUUUUCAGGCUGGUGGCUCCCCUGAACACGUCAUCCAGCUCCUGUCAGAGAACUACUCCGCUGUGGCCCACACUGUCAAUCUGCUGGCAGAGUGGCUCAUCCAGAUGGGUUAACAACAAUGGACUGGGCUGCAAAUGGCAACCUUUUCCCUAUGCAGUGUACUACUUUUGACCAGUAAUGUACUGCAUGGGGAAUAGUGUGCCAUUUGGGACAAAACCCUGGACUCCACAUACACUGAAAAUGUUUUUUUUUUGUUCCUCUCACACUGUUUGAGACACAUAGUGGAAUGUAUGAUUUUUCGGACUGUGUAUUGCAAGUGUAGAUCCAGCUCAGGUGCAGGAACGGGUAGAGAAUCAUUUGAAGAGUCUGCUGACCAAGCACUUUGACCCCCAGAAGGCUGACUCCAUCUUUACCGUGGAGGGAGAGACUCCUGCCUGGCUGGAACAGAUGAUCGCCCACACCACCUGGAGAGACCUUUUCUACAAGCUGGCCGAGGCCAACCCUGACUGUCUGAUGCUCAACUUCACUGUCAAGCUCAUCUCAGAUGCCGGCUAUCAGGGGAGAUCACCAGUGUGUCCACGGCGUGCCAGCAGCUGGAGGUGUUCGCCAGGGUCCUGAGAACCUCUCUGGCCACACUGCUGGAUGGAGGAGAGGACAACCUGGAGAAGAACCUGCCAGAGUUCACUAAGAUGGUGUGUCACGGUGAGCACACUUACCUGUUUGCCCAGGCCAUGAUGUCCAUCAUGUCUCAGGAGGAGCAGGGAGGGUCGGCCAGGAAGUACAGAAGUCUGCACAUCAGAGGUGUAGGAUUUGAUUGCCUCACCGUACACUUCGGACUUUGUCCAGCUGUUCCUGCCCAUCCUGGAGAACGUCAGCAUCGCUGGAACCAUUCGGACAGAAGGAGAACAUGACCCUGUUGCGGAGUUCAUAGCCCACUGCAAAUCCAACUUCAUCACGAAGAACUGAGAAUGACACUGGUUUGGUUUAACUUGACUGAGGAUGUAGCGGGAAGACCAGGACCUUUUGGUUAUGAGCCAAUCCCUGGAUGUGUUCUGCUGAACGAGGACUGGAACAUUGCCGAUUUUGAGGCUGACCACUUGGGUGUAGACUUUCACCUGCAACUUUUUAUUUUCAAAUGUGGUGUAAACACAUGACUCAGAAUUAGGAUGUUGUGUAUUAUUGCUUCUCUGGAGGUAUGUGGAGAACUUGUGCAGCUCCAUUCAUUUCACUGUAGUUUCCAUUAGUAUGAGCUAAAGUUUAGGUCUGUUAAUAUGUAUGUAUGACUGACUGCUCAAAAGGUUUGGCCUUUUUCAUGGUUGCCUUUUUCAAUUUGACAAGAAUCAUGACACAUCUUGGUUUUAUUAGUUCCAGACAUAGCGACAUCCACCAUUCUGCAGCAUUUAUUUUGAGGUGGUUCAGAAAAUGUAUCAACUAUUAAAACAAUUUUCUGUAACAGGCCUGGAUUCAAACAAAUUGAACUGUGGAAACCGACGACAAGCAUAAAUUACCUUUAAGCUAAGUGCAGUGAGAUGUCAGUCCAUUUGUUUGAAUCCUGGCCUUGCUUUCAGAAUACUGAAAUCAUUCAGUUAAAUUUGCAUACAACAAAAGACAAGUGGCAUCAGAAUUGAUCAAAGCUUUAACAUUUACAGCCACAAUUAAUUCUUCCUAGCCUUUUGAGCUUAAGCUAAAUUGUGCACCUAAUAUCAGCAUUUGUACUUGUUCAAAAGACAAAGUACAUAAUGACUUGUUCAGUAACAUUUUGUAUAAGAAAAAGAUCCGAAAGCACAUCAAGGCAACAUUUUUUUUAAAUAACUUCCCUCUUCCUGAUUUUACCAUGGUACAUUGUUACAAUGUGGAAGUAGCCUGAGAUUGUCAAAGAAAACUAUAGAUAUACAAUGCUGCCUAUUCUUUGUAACAGCUUCAGGGGCCUCAUUUAUAAAUGCUGCCUACAUGCAAAAGUUGGCAUUCAUAAAAACUGAAAAUGUGCUUACCUCCAUGCAAACACACAUUUUGUAGUGGUUGAAGUCUGGUAUUCCAAGCAGGCAAGUUGGUAUUUUGUGCAAAUGGUGGAUGACACGCUUAUUUACAAAUAAAAAUAAAUGCAACCA